GUGAGUCAUCGAAUCUUUGAACGCACCUUGCGCUCCUUGGUAUUCCGAGGAGCAUGCCUGUUUGAGUGUCAUUAAUAUAUCAACUUCUUCAACUUUUGCUUGUCGAGUGUUGGAUGUGGGGGGUUCUUUUUUUGCCGGGUCUCUUUUAAUUGAGGUCGGCUCCCCUGAAAUGCAUUAGCGGAACAAUUUGUUGACCGUUCAUUGGUGUGAUAAACUAUCUACGCUAUUGACGUGAGCCAGUUCAGCUUCUAACAAUCCAUUGACUUGGAUAAAUUUUUAUUAAUGUGACCUCAAAUCAGGUAGGACUACCCGCUGAACUUAAGCAUAUCAAUAAGCGGAGGAA
rnacentral:rRNA from 1 species